rnacentral:rRNA from 1 species
UACAGAGGUCUCAAGCGUUGUUCGGAUUCAUUGGGCGUAAAGGGUGCGUAGGCGGCGCGGUAAGUCGGGUGUGAAAUCUCGGGGCUUAACUCCGAAACUGCAUUCGAUACUGCCGUGCUUGAGGACUGGAGAGGAGACUGGAAUUUACGGUGUAGCGGUGAAAUGCGUAGAUAUCGUAAGGAAGACCAGUGGCGAAGGCGGGUCUCUGGACAGUUCCUGACGCUGAGG